rnacentral:pre_miRNA from 1 species
UCACAUGUGGUGAUUGGGCAGUGUAUUGUUAGUUAGCUGUUUUUCAUAAGUGCAGCAACUGCAUACACUUCCAUAUUUCCAUAUGUUCU